AGAGUUUGAUCCUGGCUCAGAUUGAACGCUGGCGGCAGGCUUAACACAUGCAAGUCGAGCGGGGAAAGGUAGCUUGCUACCUAACCUAGCGGCGGACGGGUGAGUAAUGCUUAGGAAUCUGCCUAUUAGUGGGGGACAACAUUCCGAAAGGAAUGCUAAUACCGCAUACGUCCUACGGGAGAAAGCAGGGGACCUUCGGGCCUUGCGCCAAUAGAUGAGCCUAAGUCGGAUUAGCUAGUUGGUGGGGUAAAGGCCUACCAAGGCGACGAUCUGUAGCGGGUCUGAGAGGAUGAUCCGCCACACUGGGACUGAGACACGGCCCAGACUCCUACGGGAGGCAGCAGUGGGGAAUAUUGGACAAUGGGGAGAACCCUGAUCCAGCCAUGCCGCGUGUGUGAAGAAGGCCUUUUGGUUGUAAAGCACUUUAAGCGAGGAGGAGGCUACUAGUAUUAAUACUACUGGAUAGUGGACGUUACUCGCAGAAUAAGCACCGGCUAACUCUGUGCCAGCAGCCGCGGUAAUACAGAGGGUGCGAGCGUUAAUCGGAUUUACUGGGCGUAAAGCGUGCGUAGGCGGCUGAUUAAGUCGGAUGUGAAAUCCCUGAGCUUAACUUAGGAAUUGCAUUCGAUACUGGUCAGCUAGAGUAUGGGAGAGGAUGGUAGAAUUCCAGGUGUAGCGGUGAAAUGCGUAGAGAUCUGGAGGAAUACCAAUGGCGAAGGCAGCCAUCUGGCCUAAUACUGACGCU
rnacentral:rRNA from 1 species